AAACCUUGACGUGGUCUUGUUCAACACAUAGUCAAUGAACACUAUAAAAGGAACGCUACAAUACGAACAAAUACACUACUUAGCGGUACCGUGAAACAAUAAGUACUUUUUAAAGUAAUAUUGAUUAGCAUUGGUACCAUUACUAUAGCCAUUUUAAAGGUUAAACCUUGUAACUGCGUGUACCUCUGGACUCACGGAUCAUGUCUCCAGGUAUCAUUCUAUUUCUGCUUGGAUCAUUGCUACAUAGUGCAAAAGCAGGACUAAAUGAUGGUGAAAUUGCAGGGAUUUCCAUUGGGUCAAUUUUGUUGGUCGCUGUUGUCAUAGUUGGGAUCAUCCUUGCAUGCAGACAUUUCACUUCUUCAGAGCACAACUACGGAGGAGUGUCCAGCGCUAAAUUUGGGAUGAAGAGAAACCAGUCCGACUAGUAGCCUCUAGGGUCACCAUCACUGAAUCACUA